UCUCAGCUUCACAGGAGAAAAAUCCUUGACGAAGGGAUUUUUCCAGAGAAUGUGAAUGUGACACCAGGCUUUUCCACAGGAUCACAGCUUCAGCAGAACCACACUCAUCAUUCCAACAGGAUUGCAGCCACCAUUUAAUCAGACUGCCACCAUCACCCUGGCCAACAGGGCGUCAGAUAACUAUGAAUAAGGCAAUGUUUGAGCUACAAAAGCUUUUAAAGUGUGUGAAGAAACCAUUAAGUACAAUAUGAAAACACUGAGGACCAUGGAUCUGAGCCAGUUCUUUGUAUACCCAGCUCUAAUGAACCUACUAUUUGCCCAUAAUUGUGAGGCUCCAAGCAGAGACAGUGGAGUGAAUGAGCAAGAUUAUUAGACUGUUGGCUCUGGAUCUAUAUCAGCCUCACCAGGCUCUUAGCCAAGUAUCAUGCUCUUUGCAGAGAAAGCUGCCUCUGUCCAAGCAAGCCUCUCACUUUACCAGGAAAAAUGCACUGGGGACAGACCUGGUCAGGGUCUGCAUUCAGGUUCAACUUGUGGAAGUAUGUAAAAAUAAUUUCAGAUUUAGUGGAUAAAAUGUUUGAGAUCUAGUUUACUUAAAGGUUUGGGAUUCUCUCUCAGUGUGGUGUUGUGUGUGGGAUAGCACCCCCAUGGACUGAAUGUCAGAGAACACUACAGUGCCAAGAGCUGGAAUAAAGUGUUUUCUCCUCAAAAAUUCCAAGGAUAGAGGCCUGAGGCUGUAAUGGGAGUAAAGGAGGAGCAGCUCCUUUUUCUCCUCACCUCCUGGAAUGGCAAUAGAACCUUAAUUCCAUGAUGUGUCAGUUGUUAGGCAGAGUCUGUAGC